UACGUAGGGUGCAAGCGUUAAUCGGAAUUACUCGGCGUAAAGCGUGCGCAGGCGGUUUUGUAAGUCUGACGUGAAAUCCCCGGGCUCAACCUGGGAAUUGCGUUGGAGACUGCAAGGCUAGAAUCUGGCAGAGGGGGGUAGAAUUCCACGUGUAGCAGUGAAAUGCGUAGAGAUGUGGAGGAACACCGAUGGCGAAGGCAGCCCCCUGGGUCAAGAUUGACGCUCAUGCACGAAAGCGUGGGGAGCAAACAGG
rnacentral:rRNA from 1 species